rnacentral:lncRNA from 1 species
UUACUUCGUCUCUCUCAAUACCUCUUGUCUCUCUGAACCUCCACCAUCACCGUUGCUGGAACUCUCUCUACGACGGCGGCGCCAUUCGAAACCUCCUCAAGUUUUCACCAGUCAAUUCCGGUCCUCUUCCCUUUCCGAAUCCCCAACCAAUUCCCUCGAAUCUCCCUUCAAUCACUCCAAUUUCAUAUCUGAGACCAAUCCCUAGUCCACCCAAACCCUCCAUACUCAUACAAUUUCUAACCGGACAAUAUCGGUGAAUUUUAGUUCUAAGAGUCCAAAAGAGACCCUGGUUCAACCUUGUGCAAUUUGUUAGAGUAUUUCGUCCGUAGUGGGUCAGGACUCAUUUAAAUCGAUUGCUCUUGAUAAGAGAAAUUGUUUUGCAUUAGUUUCGACCCAUUUCCAAGUCACCACUAAUGCAUGACCAUUUCGUAGCCUUCUUUGUAAGUUGGAUCGCUCCAGUCGACAAUUCAUUUCGCUUAAAGGAAAACAGUACCCUUCCUCUUUCUUUUCUUUUCCUUUUUUUUAGUGUUUCGAUUUUUUCCUUGUAUUUUGUUUGAAGUAUUUUCUUAUUAUUUAUUUGUUUGAAUGUGCUUUGAGUAUUUAGUUUCUCAAAUAAGUUUUAUUAGCUAUUUGUUUUAGUUAAUGUGGGCAUGUUACUUGUUAGGA